UCAGAAGUAAAAUUCCUGGAUCAUAGGAUA
rnacentral:piRNA from 1 species